AGCAACAAGGUGGACCAUCCUCAACACCUUCCAGAGAGUGUAGGACCCGGCAACUAGGUGGUGUGUUGGGAAUGGCUAGUGAUGAUUCCCAGAGCAUAUAUAGGAAAGUUGACACAAUACUUAAAAAUCAAAAAGUACAACUCAGCCUGCUGAGAACCCUUAACAGCAAAGCUUCAGGACCUGAUGAGGAGGAUGUGGAUGAUCUUCUGCCAAGACUCAUGGACUUGGUUGAGGAAAUUGAUAGCCUCUCUCAAGAGUUGGAUAAUUCGGAAGAUCCCAAUUUCCGGAGAAAGCUGAUUCACCAUCUUAACACCCUGGGUGGCUUUGACUUGGGUGAAACGGCAGGUAGGGUUUUUGCGAAGGCUUGGGACAAACUGUCUUUGGUCAAAGUACAGUCUUAAGGGGAGAAGAAAGAAAAAGGCGUUGAUUCAUCAGCCCAUCUGCAACAUUGUGAUCAGAGCCUGUCAGAAAAGCCAUCCCGCAGCCAAGAGAAUAAAAAUCGAGGAGACCUUAACUAACGUACUUAAAUACUGCCCCCACGAAAAAAAGGGGGGGGGGACAAAUACAAGGUAAGUGAAAUACCGCAAGCUUGUGGGAUUUGAAACCAUGACGUAAGUAGUAUUCAAAUCCUACCCAAAGGGCUCGUAUUCUCCUACGACAAUAAAGCUGUUGCAUCACCU